rnacentral:rRNA from 1 species
GACGAACGCUGGCGGCGUGCUUAACACAUGCAAGUCGAACGGAAAGGCCCUGCUUGCAGGGUACUCGAGUGGCGAACGGGUGAGUAACACGUGGGUGAUCUGCCCUGCACUUCGGGAUAAGCCUGGGAAACGGGGUCUAAUACCGGAUAGGAGCCAUUUUUAGUGGGAUGGUUGGAAAGUUUUUUCGGUGUAGGGUGAGCUCGCGGCCUAUCGGCUUGUUGGUGGGGUAAUGGCCUACCAAGGCGGCAACGGGUAGCCGGCCUGUGGGGGUGGACGGCCGCAUUGGGUCUUAGAGGCGGCCCCGACUCCUACGGGUGGCAGCAGUGGGGAAUACUGCACCAUGGGCGCCAGCCUGAUGCAGCGACGCCGCGUGGGGGAUGACGGCCUUCGGGUUGUAAACUCCUUUCGCUAGGGACGAAGCCUUUUGUGACGGUACCUAGAUAAGAAGCACCGGCUAACUACGUG